rnacentral:rRNA from 1 species
AGCCGCGGUAAUACGGAGGAUCCGAGCGUUAUCCGGAUUUAUUGGGCGUAAAGCGCGCGCAGGUGGCUCAUUACGCCCGGCGUGAAAGCCCCCGGCUUAACCGGGGAAGGUCGUCGGGUACGGGUGAGCUUGAGGGUAUCAGGGGCUGGUGGAAUUCCCGGUGUAGUGGUGAAAUGCGUAGAUAUCGGGAGGAACACCCGUGGCGAAGGCGGCCAGCUGGGAUACACCUGACACUGAGGCGCGAAGGCGUGGGGAGCGAACG